GAUUGAGUCCAGAUUGCAUCCAGAUCUUGUCGAUUGCGAACCGUUUUUGCCGAAACCGUUCCGAAACAGUCCCGUUAUUAAUUCUAAAUUCGUCAAUGAUACCCACGUCAGAAUCCCGACAAUUACAGAAUACAAUACGACUGAGACCAGACAAAGCCGUUUGCAAUGCGAUAGAGCGGACCGUGAUAGGAUUACGUUCCGACAGUACCUGAUCAUCCCGAGUAUGCCG
rnacentral:lncRNA from 1 species